AAGCUCCCUGCUCCGCUCCUCUGAUGCAUCCACUUAUAGACAAAUUGAUCCAUGUUCAUUUUCCUCGCCAAAGCCGACAUCUGGCUGUGUUACGACUCAGGCUGUAUGUUUUGUUUUGUUUGUACUUUUGGAACGUUUUUCUGCUCCUGUUUCCUUUGUGUCUUUUUCUGCAGUGGGAGGUUUUCUGUCUUUCCUCGUUUUUCCCCCUCCUGUUUGUUAGCAGAUUGGUGAUGAAAUUGUCUGGAUCACCUGAUUGGACCUCCAACUCAGGAUUCAAGUACGGCCACCUCAUCUGUUGGAACCCCCUCCAUCUGUCAGCAGCAGGGUUUACGACUUUUAAUCUCGUAAAUGUACUGAAGUCGAGGGGAGCCUACAGUCCAGUGAAUUUCUGCCGUGAGCUUAAGCAGACCGACCAAACUGAAAAGCGUCUUGGAUUUCAUCAGGAUCUCUGCAGAUUACGUUAAUGGAGCAGUUGUCCACUUCCAAUCAUUUCUUCCCACGCGACAGACCAAAUCUCCUCCAAUUCUGUGAUGCUUCAGUCUGAAGAGGACUAGUUUUCUGAAUUUUCAAUGUUUUUGUGCAAACGUAACAGACUAUUGUCAUUCGUUGUUGUUUUGUGUUGAAACGGGGCGUUUCAUCUGGAGAAGGAGGCGUCCGGAGCUCUGUUUACAUUCUCCUUUGGUUUCUGCGCAUGACAGAGAUGUGACGUAGGGUGGAGAAAGGGCUUCUGGGAAAUGAAAGGCAAAAUAAAGUGACAGUCCUGAUGAACAUGUAGCUCUGAGCUCUUUAUCUUACAUAUGAAACUGCACACUACCGACACCGAACCAGGAAAUAAUUUGAUUUUAAAUCACCAAAAGGUUCAGAAUUUCUUUGUUUUUAACACCGAUCUGGAAAUAAAUCUUCACAAGAUACUCCACGUUUUUCAUAUUCAAGCCCG